rnacentral:rRNA from 1 species
AACUUAGCAGAGAUGCUUUGGUGCCUUCGGGAACUCUGAGACAGGUGCUGCAUGGCUGUCGUCAGCUCGUGUUGUGAAAUGUUGGUUAAGUCCCGCAACGAGCGCAACCCUUAUCCUUUGUUGCCAGCGGCUCGGCCGGGAACUCAAAGGAGACUGCCGGUGAUAAACCGGAGGAAGGUGGGAUGACGUCAAGUCAUCAUGGCCCUUACGGCCAGGGCUACACACGUGCUACAAUGGCGCAUACAAAGAGAAGCGACCUCGCGAGAGCAAGCGGACCUCAUAAAGUGCGUCGUAGUCCGGAUUGGAGUCUGCAACUCGACUCCAUGAAGUCGGAAUCGCUAGUAAUCGUAGAUCAGAAUGCUACGGUGAAUACGUUCCCGGGCCUUGUACACACCGCCCGUCACACCAUGGGAGUGGGUUGCAAAAGAAGUAGGUAGCUUAACCUUCGGGAGGGCGCUUACCACUUCGUGAUUCAUGACUGGGGUGAAGUCGUAACAAGGUAGGCGUAGCGAG